CAGCCGCCGCGGGAAUACGAAGGGGGCUAGCGUUGUUCGGAAUCACUGGGCGUAAAGCGCACGUAGGCGGAUUUUUAAGUCAGGGGUGAAAUCCCGAGGCUCAACCUCGGAACUGCCUUUGAUACUGGGAAUCUGGAGUCCGGGAGAGGUGAGCGGAACUGCGAGUGUAGAGGUGAAAUUCGUAGAUAUUCGCAAGAACACCAGUGGCGAAGGCGGCUCACUGGGCCGACACUGACGCUGAGGAGCGAAAGCGUGGGGAGCGAACAGGAUUAGAUACCCGGGUAGUCCCUGUCUCUUAUAC
rnacentral:rRNA from 1 species